AUUGAACGCUGGCGGCAUGCCUUACACAUGCAAGUCGAACGGCAGCACGGGUGCUUGCACCUGGUGGCGAGUGGCGAACGGGUGAGUAAUACAUCGGAACAUGUCCUGUAGUGGGGGAUAGCCCGGCGAAAGCCGGAUUAAUACCGCAUACGAUCUACGGAUGAAAGCGGGGGACCUUCGGGCCUCGCGCUAUAGGGUUGGCCGAUGGCUGAUUAGCUAGUUGGUGGGGUAAAGGCCAACCAAGGCGACGAUCAGUAGCUGGUCUGAGAGGACGACCAGCCACACUGGGACUGAGACACGGCCCAGACUCCUACGGGAGGCAGCAGUGGGGAAUGUUGGACAAUGGGCGAAAGCCUGAUCCAGCAAUGCCGCGUGUGUGAAGAAGGCCUUCGGGUUGUAAAGCACUUUUGUCCGGAAAGAAAUCCUUGGCCCUAAUACGGUCGGGGGAUGACGGUACCGGAAGAAUAAGCACCGGCUAACUACGUG
rnacentral:rRNA from 1 species